UUUUAGAUUUGUACUGUAUGGAUGGCACAGGAAGAGAACAAGAACAUGAAACAUCUUAUUAUGAAUGUAUAUGUAUGUGAUCCUCAAAAAAUGAUUUUACAAAACAAGAUAGAGAAAGAGCUUUAAAAUCCCAAGGAUCCUGCAAAAUGUUUAUUUGGUGUACUAGUCGAAUAAUAGUAUCUAAAAAUAUUGAAACUAUUUUAAAACACAUUACGGGCAUGAGGAUGAUAUAGAGCACUUACAUAAAUACCAAAAUCAGAUAAAUACCUCUUCAAAGUUUAUUUUGAGACUUUCUUCAAAAAUUAAACUUCAGACUGUUCAGGAUAGCAUAAUAGCAUAGGAGGCGAAUUAAAAAGAAUUAAUUUACUUACAAGAAAAGAUAUCACAAACAUUAAACUUUCUUAUGGCAUUGAUUUGAAAGAUGGGUAUAUGUACAAUGAUGAUGCAACCAGUGUUUAUUUUUGGGUUGAAUGCUUACAGACUCAUGUCCAAUAUUAUUUUACAAACAACAGGGCAUACUAAUGGAUAUUCAUUCUGAAUUUAACAUUUAUGAUUUUUGUCUUAUUUUCCUUAAUACUGUGCCAAAAGGAAAUGUUAAUUAAGUUUGGUAAAUCCUUUAUCGCAAUCGAUGGAACUCAUGUGCUCAAUUCCUAUGACUUUGAACUUAUGACAGUAUUAGUGAAAGAUGAAUUUGGGAAUGGAUUUUGUACUGCUUUCUUAUUUUCAAAUAGAAAAGAUACCUACUUUAAUUUACCAAUUUUUUUAAAUACAUGUCUGUGUUGGUAUUAUAUGUAUAGUCAAAUGUUUUCAUAUCAGGCAUAAGCGACACCUUUUACAAUGCCUCAUCAAAUGUAAUGGGUAUUGCUCCUAAUAGACUGUUAAGUGCCUAGCACAUAGAUAGGUCAUGGUAAGUAAAUCUUAAUAAAAUAUCUGAUUCUGAAAAAAAUCCUAUUAUGUAUACAAUAUGUAUUAAUGAUGGUUUAGAGAGUAUUAAUAGCUUUUUGGGUAGACUUCUAAGUGAUGCAGAUACAUACAAUUUUAGUAAGUAUUUCCAGUAGAACUACUGCAAUAACAUCCAACAAUGGGCCUAUUGUUAUAGGAAGGGGUAGUGGAGUUAAUACCAAUAUGGCCAUUCAAAAUUUUCAUAAAAUUUUGGAUAAAAGGGUAUCCAUUAGUUGUCAUCAGUUAAGUUUAAAACUUGGCACUCAUGGAGAGCUAUACCAUACUAUAUAAUAGGUAUAUCUCAUAAUAUUACAUCUCAUAUUGCUCACUCAUUACAAUAGUGAGCAAUAUGAGAUAUAACAUAUUAUAGUAUAAGUCUCUGUGCAUGACCAGAUUAACAUGUUUGGUGCCCAUCUCGAACAAGCUCCACUUGGCUGGUACCACAUACUUAAAUCAUUUAUUUAGUUACACAGUACUACUCACAUAACUUAUGUGUCAUCAGUACCUUCCGUAAAACCUUCGUGAUGCUACCCAUACGUCAUGGCACCGAACAACCCGAAGGUGUACUUCAAUAAAUUUCAUUGUUCAGCUGUCAGACAGAUUCUGUGACCUUGCGCCAUUUUAUCGGUCCUUUUUCAAAUAAGUGUAUCAAAUAAAAUUUAUUGACUUUAAACUUAUUUAACAUACAAUUUUAAUUAAAAAAUAUAUCGUGACCUAAUAGCGAUCUAAUAAGAGCUUCUCUGUAUUCUAUGUAUUUUAUCUCUAUUUCUGUAAUUUUUUUGUACAAAAAAUAGGAGUUCCAAGCUCUACAAUAACAAAGUAUGUAUAAGUACGUUUUCAACAAUAUUUUAUAUACAGGGUGUCCAAAAACUCUACCGACAAACGAAGACAGGAGAUUCCUCAGAUAAAUUUAAGACAUUUUAACCUAAUUCUUCUAGUCCGAAAAUGCUUCCUAAGAGGGCUAGAGCUCUUUAAAUAUGGCGUCUUGUAAUUAGUUUUUCUUAAAUAACGUCAGAACGCUCUCAUUUAGAAACAUGAGAAUUGGUACGCAUAUUUAUCUUUCAGAGAUAAAUCGAUUACAUUUAUUGUGAACUUUUAGUACCGGUCAUAGGCGUCCGUUUUGGGUAGGGCCACGGUUAUUUUAUCAGAUAACUUUUAUGUCUUUAACUUUUAAGCAUUUUUGACACUGGAUUAUUAAAUUAUGAGGUAUCCUAGUACUAAAAGGUACUCUUCCUUUAAGUCGGUAGAACACACGGUUUUCUAAAAAAAUCGAUUUCAAAAUUUUUCGUUUCUUGAAUUUCCAAAAAAAAUUAAAAAAAAAACAGUUAGAAAAACGAAAAUUGGUACGUUUAUUUAUAUUCCAGAGAUGAAUCGAUUUCAUUAAUUGCGAAUUUGUAGUACCGGUAAUAUGCGUCCGUUUUGGGUAGGUCAAGAGUUAUUUUAUCGCAUAACUUUUUUGCCUUUAAUUUUAAGAAUUUGUGACUUUAGAUUGUUAAAUUAUGAGCUAUUCUAGUACUAAAAGUUGCUCUUGGUAUAAGUUAGUAAAAUACACUGUUUUUUUUUUAACUUUUUUGCAGUUUUUUUUUUCAAAUUUAAAAGACGAAAAAUUUUCAAAUCGAUUUUUCUAGAAAACGGCGUGUUCUACGGACUUAAAUCAAAAGCACCUUUUAGUACUAGAAUAUCUCACAGUAUAAUAAUCCAAUAUCAAAAAUGCUUAAAAGUUACAGAUAAAAAAGUUAUGCGAUAAAAUAACCGUUGCCCUACCCAUAACGGACGCCUAUGACCGGUACUAGAAAUUCAAGAUGAAUGAAAUCGAUGCAUCUUUGGAAGAUAAAUGUGUGUACCAAUUUUUGUUUUUCUAAAUACAAGGGUUCUGGAGGUAUCUAAGAAAAACUAAUUACAAGACGCCAUCUUCAAAGAGCUCUAGCUCCCUUAGAAGCAUUUUCGGACUAGAUGAAUUGGGUUUAAAUGUCUUAAAAUUAUAUGAGGAGUCUCCUGUCUUCGUUUGUCGGUAGAGUUUCUGGACACCCUGUAUACAUAAUAUAGGUAAAGUUUUGUUCUGAAGCUAUUUCCUUGUGGCAUUUUUAUAAUCAACUAUUUUCAAUGAUUGAAUACAAGAAUUAUUUUGUAUUUUGACAAUAACACCUGACUUGGGCGUCGAAACGUUAAUAAAAUCAUUUUUUUGGUAAAAUUGUGCCUUAUUUCCCAUUGAAAAUAAUUGAUUAGGUAAAGUUUCAUAGUUAACACCAAAUUUUCAAGUACCUACCCAUUUAAGUACAUACACAUUUAUAAAAACAUUGUGAAUUUAAAAAUGCUUACCUUGAUUCGUCUUUUGGAAAACGGAAAAAAACUAUAGCUGAAAUUUGAUACCGUGUUUUUACAGUUGAUCGCUGCACAGAUUAAAUUCGAACUGCCUUUCUUUUUGUCCAUAUCCAUAAUUAUUAUUGCACAAUGCACAAAAACAAAAUCACCGAACAGAACAUCACAAAAUCAAAGUAACCCCGAAACAAGCGUGAUCUGACAACAACAAUCACAAAUUGAUCCUGUCAGCAGCGGACCUGUGGACCGAAAAAAUGGCCGCCAGCCGUGCGCAAACCAGAUGCGCGAACUUUUCCCGCCGAGUCGACUGUGCCUUCGGGUUGUUCGGUGGUCAUGGCCACUAAAUGUGUUAAAGCUUGUUAAUGUAGGAGAGUUAUACUAAAAUAUAUAUCUUAUAUUAUAUUGCCUUAAAUAGAAAAAAUAUCUUAUUUAAAUUGUAUCCAUGUAAGUUUUGAUUUAAUGAAAUAAACCUUUUAAUCAAAAAAGUGUUGUUUACUUGUGUACACCCAGCAAUAUCCUGAUCAUAGAUAAAUAAUAUAGUAUUACCGGAUCCUGAUAUGCAGACGCCAAUAGGGCUUUUCAUCGAUUGUCAUUUGUUUCGAGCUUCUGU
rnacentral:lncRNA from 1 species